rnacentral:tRNA from 1 species
UUAACUGAAACCAAAAAGAGGUAUAUUAUUGUUAAUAAUAAAAUUGAAUGAAUAUUCCUGUUAAA